GAUGAACGCUGGCGGCGUGCCUAAUACAUGCAAGUCGAGCGAACGGACGAGAAGCUUGCUUCUCUGAUGUUAGCGGCGGGCGGGUGAGUAACACGUGGAUAACCUACCUAUAAGACUGGGAUCACUUCGGGAAACCGGAGCUAACACCGGAUGAUAUUUUGAACCGCAUGGUUCAAAAGUGAAAGACGGUCUUGCUGUCACGUAUAGAUGGAUCCGCGCUGCAUUAGCUAGUUGGUAAGUUAACGGCUUACCAAGGCAACGAUGCAUAGCCGACGUGAGAGGGUGAUCGGCCACACUGGAACUGAGACACGGUCCAGACUCCUACGGGAGGCAGCAGUAGGGAAUCUUCCGCAAUGGGCGAAAGCCUGACGGAGCAACGCCGCGUGAGUGAUGAAGGUCUUCGGAUCGUAAAACUCUGUUAUUAGGGAAGAACAUAUGUGUAAGUAACUGUGCACAGCUUGACGGUACCUAAUCAGAAAGCCACGGCUAACUACGUG
rnacentral:rRNA from 1 species